rnacentral:rRNA from 1 species
AAUCAACGCUGGCGGCGUGCCUCAGACAUGCAAGUCGAACGAUUAAAGCUCUCUUCGGAGAGUGUAUAGAGUGGCGCACGGGUGAGUAACACGUAAGUAAUCUACCCUCGAGUGGGGAAUAACGUUCGGAAACGAACGCUAAUACCGCAUAACGCAGCGGCACCGUAAGGUGACAGUUGUUAAAGGAGUAAUUCGCUUGA